rnacentral:tRNA from 1 species
GGAGGCGCAUUCGGUCUGGUGACCGGCGCGGCCUUCAAAGCCGUUGAGCCGGGGUGAGAGCUUCGGCGGGUCGGGUUCGAUUCCCACACGCCUCCGCCA